GCAAAGAACAGCAGAAUCCCUAUGAAAACAACCUGAUGUUAACCUGCAUCCCCGCUUGGCCUGACAAAAACGAAACAAAAAUUAUUUCAAAAUGUUACGCACCAUGUUUCGGCCAACUCUACUUUGAAUAUUGGAGAGGAGCCUAAAUGCUGGGGGUAGACUUGAUCCCGUAUCUUUCUGACGCUAAGUUCUUCAGUACAGAACGUGAUCUGACAUCCCUAGCAGACCUCACUUCAGCAGAGAGUGCAGAGGAAGGAUAGAGGUGUUUAGAGAAGGCAGGCCCAGUUCUUCUGCAAUGAAGUCGAUUUUGCUGUUAACUACAAUAGGAGCAAGAUUGGACCUUUGGACUGGACAUUUUAUAGAGAACUGUUGUCGGGCACAUGCCCAGAUCAGCACUGGAAAGGGGAUUAAUUCCAUCCAUCAGUGGAGCAGACUAAAUGGCUUUAACCAGCAUAUCCGACUGUGAGUUGUACCUAUUACCGACGUGUACAGAGUGCUUUGCAGAAGCUGCGAUUUCUGCAUUUUCGCCUGCUGUUG